rnacentral:lncRNA from 1 species
GAUAUUCUAGCUAUUCAUUGACUCAUGGGGACUCUGUUUGAUGUGUCCCGCUUCAGCUGGCGUCUGAGCGCUUCGAGGAGGGAGAGCGAGCGCUGAGAGAGGCCAGACAGGUGGAGGCCGAACACCAGACACGACUGCGCAACAUACACGCACAGAUGGAGAGACUGCGGCAGCAAGAGCACAGCCUACAGCAGGAGCGCUUGAGGAUGACGGAUCAUCACAGAGACGUGGAGCGACUGAAACACACUCUUCCCGUCAGCCCUCUGGCCUCCACUCAACCGCUUAUCACAGAUCUGUCUCCAGUGUUGACCAGCACACACCUGAGUACCGCUUUGAACCCGCUGCCCACUGAACUGCACGCCAGACUCGCCAUCAUCAAACACACUGCUGAGAAGGUACACACACACACACACACACACACACUCUCACACACACACUCUCACAGUGGAAAAUACACAAGACGUAUGACGUAUUUGGAGAAUAACCAAAAUUAG